GAGUUUGAUCUUGGCUCAGGACAAACGCUGGCGGCGUGUAUUAGGCAUGCAAGUCGCACGGACCUUCGGGUCAGUGGCGGACGGGUGAGUAACACGUGGGUAACCUGCCCUUCAGUGGGGAAUAACUCGCCGAAAGGCGAGCUAAUACCGCAUUCGACUACCGGUGAGAGACCGGAUAGUGAAAGCAGCAAUGUGCUGAAGGAGGGGCCCGCGGCCGAUUAGCUUGUUGGUGGGGUAAUGGCCUACCAAGGCGACGAUCGGUAGCUGGUCUGAGAGGAUGGUCAGCCACACGGGGACUGAGAUACGGCCCCGACUCCUACGGGAGGCAGCAGCUAAGAAUCUUGCGCAAUGGGCGAAAGCCUGACGCAGCAACGCCGCGUGGGGGACGAAGGGCCCUUCGGGUCGUAAACCCCUUUUGCGAGGGAAGAAGUUCUGACGGUACCUCGCGAAUAAGCCACGGCUAACUACGUGCCAGCCGCCGCAGU
rnacentral:rRNA from 1 species